rnacentral:tRNA from 1 species
CGCAACAGCUCAGCUGGUAGAGCAUCCGCCCAGUAUGCGGAGGGUCGCCGGUUUGAUUCCGGCCCGCGA